rnacentral:rRNA from 1 species
GGGUACAACCCUCCGAAAGGGGGGCUGAUACCGCGUACAUCCCCCGGGGGCAUCCCCGGGGGAGGAAAGCCCUACGGGGCGGGCGGGGAUGGGCAUGCGGCGCAUUAGGAAGACGGCGGUGUGACGGACCACCGUUCCGACGAUGCGUAGGGGUUCUGAGAGGAAGGCCCCCCACACUGGUACUGAGACACGGACCAGACUCCUACGGGAGGCAGCAGUGAGGAAUAUUGGUCAAUGGCCGGAAGGCUGAACCAGCCAAGCCGCGUGAGGGAGGAAGGCGCAGAGCGUCGCAGACCUCUUUUGCCGGGGGACAAAAGGCCGGACUCGUCCGGUCCUGAGGGUACCCGGAGAAAAAGCAUCGGCUAACUCCGUGCCAGCAGCCGCGGUAAUACGGAGGAUGCGAGCGUUAUCCGGAUUCAUUGGGUUUAAAGGGUGCGCAGGCGGGCCUUUAAGCCGGCGGUGAAAUCGCGGGGCUCAACCCCGCCGAGCCGUCGGAACUGGGGGCCUUGAGUGCGGCGGAGGCAUGCGGAAUGCGCGGUGUAGCGGUGAAAUGCAUAGAUAUCGCGCAGAACCCCGAUUGCGAAGGCAGCGUGCCGUGCCGCCACUGACGCUGAGGCACGAAAGCGCGGGGAUCGAACAGGAUUAGAUACCCUGGUAGUCCGCGCCGUAAACGAUGGAUGCAGGGUGUCCGGGGCGUUCAGGCCCAGGAUGCCGGAGCAAAAAGCAGGUAAGCAUCCCACAUAGGGAGUACGCCGGCAACGAGGAAACUCAAAGGAAUGGACGGGGGCCCGCACAAGCGGAGGAACAUGUGGUUUAAUUAGACGAUACGCGAGGAACCUUACCCGGGGCUCAAUCGGGAGUGGAAGGGACCAGAGACAAUUCAGCCUACGGGCCGCUUCAGAGGUGCUGCAUGGUUGUCGUCAGCUCGUGCCGUGAGGUGUCGGCUUAAGUGCCAUAACGAGCGCAACCCCCGCCGGCAGUUGCUAACGGGCAAUGCCGAGGACUCUGCCGGGACUGCCGCCGCAAGGCGAGAGGAAGGCGGGGAUGACGUCAAAUCAGCACGGCCCUUACGUCCGGGGCGACACACGUGUUACAAUGGGCGGUACAGCGGGAAGCCAGGCGGCGACGCCGAGCGGAACCCGAAAGCCGUUCUCAGUUCGGAUCGGAGUCUGCAACCCGACUCCGUGAAGCUGGAUUCGCUAGUAAUCGCGCAUCAGCCAUGGCGCGGUGAAUACGUUCCCGGGCCUUGUACACACCGCCCGUCAAG